CCCCUAGAUGUUCUGGGCCGCACGCGCGCUACACUGAACAGUUCAACAAGUCUUAACCUUGGCCGAUAGGUCUGGGUAAUCUUUGAACGCUGUUCGUGAUUGGGAUAGACCUUUGCAAUUAUGGGUCUUCAACGAGGAAUUCCUAGUAAACGCAAGUCAUCAGCUUGCAUUGAUUACGUCCCUGCCCUUUGUACACACCGCCCGUCGCUCCUACCGAUUGAAUGGUCCGGUGAAGCGUUCGGACCGUGGCCUUUGGACGGUUCGCCGUCUGUUGGCUGCGGGAAGUUCGUUAAACCUUNUNAUUUAGNGGAAGGAGAANUCGUANCA
rnacentral:rRNA from 1 species